GACGAACGCNGGCGGCGUGCUUAACACAUGCAAGUCGAACGGAGCGAAUGAAAGCUUGCUUUUAUGAGCUUAGUGGCAAACGGGUGAGUAACACGUAGGCAACCUGCCGACAGGAUGGGGACAACAUUCCGAAAGGAAUGCUAAUACCGAAUGAAGCGGAGGAGAGGCAUCUCUCUUCCGUGAAAGAUGGCCUCUAUUUAUAAGCUAUCACCUGUCGAUGGGCCUGCGUCUGAUUAGCUAGUUGGUGAGGUAACGGCUCACCAAGGCGACGAUCAGUAGCCGGUCUGAGAGGAUGAACGGCCACAUUGGGACUGAGACACGGCCCAGACUCCUACGGGAGGCAGCAGUGGGGAAUCUUCCGCAAUGGGCGCAAGCCUGACGGAGCAACGCCGCGUGAGUGAAGAAGGUCUUCGGAUCGUAAAGCUCUGUUGAUGGGGACGAACGUACGGAGUGCGAAUAGUGCUCNGUAANGACGGNACC
rnacentral:rRNA from 1 species